ACCUGGAGAUAGCUGGUUCUCUCCGAAAUAGCUUUAGGGCUAGCCUCAAGUGAUGAUUAUUGGAGGUAGAGCACUGUUUGGACGAGGGGCCCCUCUCGGGUUACCGAAUUCAGACAAACUCCGAAUGCCAAUUAAUUUAACUUGGGAGUCAGAACAUGGGUGAUAAGGUCCGUGUUCGAAAGGGAAACAGCCCAGACCACCAGCUAAGGUCCCAAAAUAUAUGUUAAGUGGAAAAGGAUGUGGCGUUGCCCAGACAACUAGGAUGUUGGCUUAGAAGCAGCCAUCAUUUAAAGAGUGCGUAAUAGCUCACUAGUCGAGUGACACUGCGCCGAAAAUGUACCGGGGCUAAACAUAUUACCGAAGCUGUGGAUUGUCCUUUGGACAAUGGUAGGAGAGCGUUCUAAGGGCGUUGAAGCAUGAUCGUAAGGACAUGUGGAGCGCUUAGAAGUGAGAAUGCCGGUGUGAGUAGCGAAAGACGGGUGAGAAUCCCGUCCACCGAUUGACUAAGGUUUCCAGAGGAAGGCUCGUCCGCUCUGGGUUAGUCGGGUCCUAAGCUGAGGCCGACAGGCGUAGGCGAUGGAUAACAGGUUGAUAUUCCUGUACCACCUAUAAUCGUUUUAAUCGAUGGGGGGACGCAGUAGGAUAGGCGAAGCGUGCGAUUGGAUUGCACGUCUAAGCAGUAAGGCUGAGUAUUAGGCAAAUCCGGUACUCAUUAAGGCUGAGCUGUGAUGGGGAGAAGACAUUGUGUCUUCGAGUCGUUGAUUUCACACUGCCGAGAAAAGCCUCUAGAUAGAAAAUAGGUGCCCGUACCGCAAACCGACACAGGUAGUCAAGAUGAGAAUUCUAAGGUGAGCGAGCGAACUCUCGUUAAGGAACUCGGCAAAAUGACCCCGUAACUUCGGGAGAAGGGGUGCUCUUUAGGGUUAACGCCCAGAAGAGCCGCAGUGAAUAGGCCCAAGCGACUGUUUAUCAAAAACACAGGUCUCUGCUAAACCGUAAGGUGAUGUAUAGGGGCUGACGCCUGCCCGGUGCUGGAAGGUUAAGAGGAGUGGUUAGCUUCUGCGAAGCUACGAAUCGAAGCCCCAGUAAACGGCGGCCGUAACUAUAACGGUCCUAAGGUAGCGAAAUUCCUUGUCGGGUAAGUUCCGACCCGCACGAAAGGCGUAACGAUUUGGGCACUGUCUCAACGAGAGACUCGGUGAAAUCAUAGUACCUGUGAAGAUGCAGGUUACCCGCGACAGGACGGAAAGACCCCGUGGAGCUUUACUGUAGCCUGAUAUUGAAAUUCGGCACAGCUUGUACAGGAUAGGUAGGAGCCUUUGAAACGUGAGCGCUAGCUUACGUGGAGGCGCUGGUGGGAUACUACCCUAGCUGUGUUGGCUUUCUAACCCGCACCACUUAUCGUGGUGGGAGACAGUGUCAGGCGGGCAGUUUGACUGGGGCGGUCGCCUCCUAAAAGGUAACGGAGGCGCUCAAAGGUUCCCUCAGAAUGGUUGGAAAUCAUUCAUAGAGUGUAAAGGCAUAAGGGAGCUUGACUGCGAGACCUACAAGUCGAGCAGGGUCGAAAGACGGACUUAGUGAUCCGGUGGUUCCGCAUGGAAGGGCCAUCGCUCAACGGAUAAAAGCUACCCCGGGGAUAACAGGCUUAUCUCCCCCAAGAGUUCACAUCGACGGGGAGGUUUGGCACCUCGAUGUCGGCUCAUCGCAUCCUGGGGCUGUAGUCGGUCCCAAGGGUUGGGCUGUUCGCCCAUUAAAGCGGUACGCGAGCUGGGUUCAGAACGUCGUGAGACAGUUCGGUCCCUAUCCGUCGUGGGCGUAGGAAAUUUGAGAGGAGCUGUCCUUAGUACGAGAGGACCGGGAUGGACAUACCUCUGGUGUACCAGUUGUCGUGCCAACGGCAUAGCUGGGUAGCUAUGUGUGGACGGGAUAAGUGCUGAAAGCAUCUAAGCAUGAAGCCCCCCUCAAGAUGAGAUUUCCCAACUUCGGUUAUAAGAUCCCUCAAAGAUGAUGAGGUUAAUAGGUUCGAGGUGGAAGCAUGGUGACAUGUGGAGCUGACGAAUACUAA
rnacentral:rRNA from 1 species